CCAAUGAUUGGGAACCAGUUGAGGUUGAUAGAUCUCCUGGUUGCUAAAAUCAAAUACCCAUCUUUGUGCACCUUUUUUAUGUCUCUGGUGUGUCGCAAGAGAAGUCUCCUAUUUGGAGGAUCUCUUCUAGUUCAUUUUGAUCCUCGGACAAAUGAAUGAAGCCACCAAAUGGUUGCUACAACACACUUUUUUGGCCGUCCAAAAUAUCUGUCUAACAUUGAUUUGUGUAAAAUACAUAAAA
rnacentral:misc_RNA from 1 species